UACAGAGGUCCCAAGCGUUGUUCGGAUUCACUGGGCGUAAAGGGUGCGUAGGCGGUCGGGUAAGUCUGAUGUGAAAUCUCACAGCUUAACUGUGAAACUGCAUUGGAUACUAUCCGGCUCGAGGAAUGGAGGGGAGACUGGAAUACUUGGUGUAGCAGUGAAAUGCGUAGAUAUCAAGUGGAACACCAGUGGCGAAGGCGAGUCUCUGGACAUUUCCUGACGCUGAGGCGCGAAAGCUAGGGGAGCAAACAGG
rnacentral:rRNA from 1 species